AGUUCAUAACAGAAUUACAAGCUUUACUACUCAACUUCACCACUAGGCUUUUCUCCAAAAAGCAACUCAUAAUUAAAAAGAAAAUGAUACUGUCCUUAGAGAGUAAAUAUUUUGCUUUUGUUGAUGAUACACAAAAAGAAUCUGCUGUAUACUUUCAAGAAAGUUUUGAAAACGUUUUGAAUUUGUGAGGAUAGCAAGUAUGCACUCCGGAGUCUAAUGACCUUGGGUAUAUCAACCUUUUGUGUCUAUAAUCUCACCUGUAAUAUGGGGAAACAAUGGUUCCCACUGAUGUGACUACUGUAGGAAUUAAAUGAAUAAACAUGUGACAAUUCUAGUACACCUCCCUCCCACUAAAAGAAUAGACUUUAUUUUUAAAAGUAGUUUUAGUUUCACAGCAAAAUCGAGCAGCAAGUACAGAGAGUUACAAAUAUUCUCUUACUCGACACAUGCAUAGACCCCCACUAUCAACAUCCCAAAGCAGAAUGGUACAUUUGUUACAAUGAAUAAAUCUACAUUGACAGAUCUUUAUCACCCAAAGUCCAUGGUUUACAUUAGGGUUCACUCUUGGUGUUGUGCAUUUUAUGGGUUUGAACAAAUGUAUAAUGACGUGUAUGUACCAUUAUAGUUCCACACAAAAUAGUUUCACUUCCCUAAGCAUCCUCUGUGUCGCCUCUGUCUACCCCUCACUCCUCUCUAACUGCUGGCAACCAUUAACAUUUUUACUGUUUCCAAAGUUUUACCUUUUCCAGCUAGUCAUGUAGUUGGAAUCAUUUGGUUUAUGCGACAUAAUUAAUGAGCAUUUAUGUCGAAGUGUUUUGAGGAGCAUUAGCUUACAUGAAACACAGAAUGAAAUAAAAAGAGGUUAAUGUCAGUAGUAAUAGUAUAAAUUGAAAAUGUGCUGGCAUAAAAGAAGGAUGGAAUCAUAUUGCCUGAAGUAAUCAGAGAAGAUAUUCUGGAGAGUAUAGGACUAAAUCUGGAUCUGGAACUGUGGAGAAAUUUCUGAUGAUGAAUAGGGGGAGGAAAUAGCUCAAGUUAAGGAAAAAAGGUGGAGCUAAAUGCAACUUUUGUGAGGGAUGGUGAGGAGUGUACCACAGUCCACUGAAGAAUUCAUGUGGGGAGUUGAGAGGACUAAAUUGAUAAAGUCAGGUUAUUAGAGGGCAUAAAUUAGAAACAUUUAGCUUUUAUAUUAUUUACACUAGAAAUUCUUGCACAGAAAACUGAUCCCAUGAUAAACACCUUAGGAAAAUUAAUCUGGCAUUAGUAUGCAGAAAAACUGUAAGAGGAGAGGGUUUAGAAAACUCUGUGGAAACAUUGAUCUCAGUUCAUAUGGGAAAUAUUGAAUCUGUUGGAAAGGGUGGAGGUGGGGAAGAUAUGCAGAGGGAAGAAAAGAUAGUUCAUUCAAAUUGAACUCUCAACAUAAAAUAUGAGGAAAAAAGCAGAGAGUCAGGAUUACUCCUGUGCUUCUAUGUUUGGAAGAAUGGGGAAAAAAUGAGACCAUUGAUGGAAAUACACAAGUUGGAAGUAGAGCUAGUUUAGGGAUAAUUAUGAAUUUGGUUUUCAUAAUCUAAAGUAAUGGUAAUAUAAGUAAGUAGUAUGUUUCUAAUGGCAGUUCUCAAUUUGGGGUUUAAGCAAGAGGUCAAGGUAAGAACCAUAGAUUUGGG
rnacentral:lncRNA from 1 species